rnacentral:rRNA from 1 species
UACGUAGGUGGCAAGCGUUGUCCGGAAUUAUUGGGCGUAAAGCGCGCGCAGGCGGUCUCUUAAGUCUGAUGUGAAAUCUCGUGGCUCAACCACGAGCGGCCAUUGGAAACUGGGGGACUUGAGUACAGAAGAGGAGAGUGGAAUUCCAUGUGUAGCGGUGAAAUGCGUAGAUAUAUGGAGGAACACCAGUGGCGAAGGCGACUCUCUGGUCUGUAACUGACGCUGAGGCGCGAAAGCGUGGGGAGCAAACAGG